AAAACUAGAGAGAAUGCCUCUCUCUCUCUCUCUCUCUCUCUCUCUCUCUCUCUCUCUCUCUUGUUCUCUUUGAGAUUUUCUUACAAAAUUCAUGAUCCACGAAGAUCAAUUCGUCCAAAUUCAAAUUCGAUUUCGGUAACGUGAUCUACAAAACUCGAUCUACGUUUCUACCGAUUAGUUUGAGUAAUGCAUUGCAUGGUGGUGUUUAAGAGGCCUAGUGCGUAAUAUUCGCGCAGUCAAGGUUUUGCGGAUAUAAAUAUUGACUCGUCCACCUAGCAUAUGGGAUGCUAUGAUUGGAGCAUAUCGCGACAGUCAUAAGUUACGGAUUCAUGGGUAGUCCGCAUUUUGGGUAUUAUAUUUAUGGCUCGUGUCCUACGUGGCACACGUAUUUGUUAGGCCUGUAUUUUGGUAUGUAAUUAGUGUAAUGUGUUUUAUAAGCCUUAAAUAGAUAGACUUGUAAAUGACUCUUGUUGUUGAUUACAGUUAUGUAUUAGAUGUAAUUCCGCUAUUGAUAUGUGUUCCGCUGCACAUUGAUAUUUAUAUUCCGCUGUGUUAGGUGUAACUUUGAAUAUCAGGUACAUGUUAUGGAACAUGUACGUUAUGUUGGCUGAGCGACAAGUAGUCGUGCCACUGUGAAAAUC